ACGGAAGGCAGCAGUGAGGAAUAUUGGUCAAUGGAGGCAACUCUGAACCAGCCAUCUCGCGUGAAGGAAUACGGCCCUAUGGGUCUUAAACUUCUUUUAUAGGGGGAUAAAGUGAGGCAUGUAUGCCUUUUUGUAGGUACCCUAUGAAUAAGCAUCGGCUAACUCCGUGCCAGCAGCCGCGGUAAUACGGAGGAUGCGAGCGUUAUCCGGAUUUAUUGGGUUUAAAGGGUGCGCAGGCGGCACGUUAAGUCAGCGGUGAAAUGUCGGGGCUUAACCCGGGCACUGCCGUUGAAACUGGCGAGCUUGAGUACGGAUGAAGUUGGCGGAAUGUGAUGUGUAGCGGUGAAAUGCUUAGAUAUGUCACAGAACACCGAUUGCGAAGGCGGCUGACUAAUCCGCAACUGACGCUCAGGCACGAAAGCGUGGGGAUCGAGCAGGAUUAGAUACUAUGA
rnacentral:rRNA from 1 species